rnacentral:rRNA from 1 species
CAGAGGGGGCAAGCGUUGUUCGGAAUUACUGGGCGUAAAGGGCGCGUAGGCGGCGCCUAAGUCAGACGUGAAAUCCCUCGGCUCAACCGGGGAACUGCGUCUGAUACUGGGUGGCUUGAAUCCGGGAGAGGGAUGCGGAAUUCCAGGUGUAGCGGUGAAAUGCGUAGAUAUCUGGAGGAACACCGGUGGCGAAGGCGGCAUCCUGGACCGGCAUUGACGCUGAGGCGCGAAAGCCAGGGGAGCAAACGGGAUUAGAUACCCCGGUAGUCCUGGCCCUAAACGAUGAGUGCUUGGUGUGGCGGGUAUCGAUCCCUGCCGUGCCGAAGCUAACGCAUUAAGCACUCCGCCUGGGGAGUACGGUCGCAAGGCUG